UCCUACGGGAGGCAGCAGUGGGGAAUAUUGCACAAUGGAGGGAACUCUGAUGCAGCGACGCCGCGUGAGCGAUGAAGGCCUUCGGGUCGUAAAGCUCUGUCCUAUGGGACGAUAAUGACGGUACCAUAGGAGGAAGCCCCGGCUAACUACGUGCCAGCAGCCGCGGUAAUA
rnacentral:rRNA from 1 species